UCAGGGUAAGGUCAGGUAGUUUGCUUGUUUUAAAUCUUCUUUGUUUUCGGAAAUUGCAACAGUGAGAGAGUGCCAGAAAACAGAUCUUGGGGAAUAUCGGGAUGGUUUAAAUGUGCAAUGGAGGAAGGCAGGAAUUUAUGGCAAGGAAAUAUGUUAUUGGUUAAAAAAAAAAAAAGUGCAUUUCUAGUAAAAUCAGGCUUUGUUUUGGCUUUUCAGAGGGGGAAAGGCUGGUUUUGAGCCUUUUGAGGUUCAGAUCAAGAGUGCUUCUGUACUCCCCACCAGGACUGUCCUGCCCUCCGACUGUGCUGCUGCCCAGGGAGCCCCUGGGAUCUCUCUACCUGGUAGCACCCCGCAGCUUCUCCUCCUGCCUGAGUGAUUUCUCCUGGGUCUGGAUGGGGUUGGAAGCAAUGUGAGCAUCCCCUGUAAAUACGAUCAUGCCUUGGGGUGGCCGGUUUGUUCUGGGAGCGCUGCUGGGUUUGCAGUGUUUGGUUUCUCCACCCCAUGUGCGGAUGGUGGGAGCUUUAUUUGGUGCUGAUUGCUUGGAUUUCCACCUCUCCUGGCAGCGUUCCCAAGCUGUGGUCUUGGUCCAAACCUCUCCAUCCUGCUCGAGGGCCACAUCUGCUUCCCAUUCACCCAGGGGAAAAAAGGACAACUCUUGCUGCACCCAGGAUGCUGGAUGGAGGGAUGAUGGGGUAGGAAGCAAGCAGGAGAAGCCUUCCCUGGGCGCGGGCAGGGCUUUGGAGCACGUCAGUGCUGGCACCCGCUGCUGGAGGAGCUGAGCCAAGGAGGGGAAUGACACAUCCCAGCACAAACAGCCAGGGGAUGACUGCGUGGAGGCGAGGAACGGCAGUGCUUAACCCUUCGGAGAUGGUACACGGCAGGGACCAGCUAUGGGCAGGUUGGGGAAGGUAGGGAGGAGAGCCAGGUACCAAAAAGAGGUGUGUCGGAGCCCAAAUGCAAUAAUUUGGGCACCAAUGCUGGCGAGGGGGGCUGAUUUCCCAUGCUAUUCCUAUACCAUGUGCCCCAUCGGUGCUGUGCAAGCAGCUUCUGGCUUUCACCUUUGGGAAGGAAAAAGGAAAUUUUGGUCCAAAUUCCUGGCAGAGCGUUCUGCUCGCUCUCUGCCUCGCUCCCUUUUUAUGUUACAGUCACGGUGGAGAUUGGCUUGGAAAACUCACAAAAGUAGCCCAGAAGAAUAAACACAACUGCCUGGCAGAGAUAAUCAGUUGCUAAAACAUGCCUACUGCUCUGAUGAGAAAGGAAAUUGGGUUUAAGCUGGAAUUAACCUGACGCCCCCCCUUAUCCCAUCCAUCUAUCGAUCGCUCCCGGCCCUUCUGGACAAAUGGGAUGGGAAGAGGAAAGGAGACUUGUCCUCACCUCAGGGCCCCGAAACCUCAAUUCCCCCCCAAGGCAGCACGAGGUGCCCGUGCCAGCCUCCCUGUGCCUGUGUCUGUCUGACUGAGGGUUCGUCUGCCAUCUCAUUCACCUGCCCAGCUUGGGUCCUUUGGCAGAUUUCUGCUUUUCCUUCCCCUCGUAACGGCGUGGUGGCUCUGCUCUCUGUAAUUCAACACCAGGAAACCUCGCUUUGCCCCCGCUGCCCUUCUCUGCUCGGUUAGAGGAUGGAUUGGGACCACAAUCUUUGCUCAGAAGCAUUUUUGGAGGUGUUUAUUUCAGUUCAAGCCCAAGAGAUGGCACUGCCAACGUGGGGCAUCCCAAGGAAGCCUUGUGCACCUGGAGGUUGUCUGCCCUCUCCAACCUUUGCAGACAGAGAAAAUUUCACAACGGGGCAGCUGUAAGAUGGGCAAUCUUCAUAAUUCUGCGUUUUACUUGUUGCUGGGUAAUUAAUCUGUCACAAUUAAUUGGCGAUCCUUGUUUUCUUUAUGACCGCUGGCCGUGCUCAUCGUUCACGCCUUCGGGCCUGAGCUGGGUGCCCGGAGCUGACACCCAGGUUAUUUUAUGGUGAUUUAUUCUGAUUCGGAGCCCUGAGGAGGCAAAGGUUUGAUCUUUACUUGUCUGGAUCUUUAUCUUUCCCCAGCCCUCGUGGGAUUUCGGGGGUCCUGCUUGGGUGCUGGGGGAUGCUCGGGGUUGCUGCUGUGCACAUCGCACGAGGCCAGCCGGGCUGUGCAGGUGCUGCUGGGUUGCAGGGAGACAAUAAUUCAUGUCUCCAUUGCUGGGUCACAGCUGAAAGUAACAAAUGGCUCCCAAAACUUGUGCAAGUUUCCUUUUAUUAAUAUAUCUGGGGCUCCUCCUUUGCCCGCAGGUGUCUGGGCACAAUUAGGUCAUGCUUUUCCAACCUAGAAAACGUGAGAUUUUCUUCUUGCAAGGAGAAAUGAGAUUCUCUAAAAGCAUCUCUUUCAGAGGGUAACUUUCUCUGCAUGGGUCCAAUCCUGAAGCCCGCUGGGGACCCCUCUCCAUCACCGAUCUCACCUUCCUCCUGCAAAUCUGCCCCGAAAUAGGGAUGGUGGGAGCACCGUGGUGCUCCCACUCACCGCUGCAUCCCCAUCCUGCACGCACCCUGUAAACCAAGAUUAUUUAUUUAAAAAAAAAAAAAGCGACCACGUGCACAGGAGGGGAAAAUAAUCAAGCCGAGGGGAAGGAGGAAAAAAACAACUUGUCCUCGUCUAACAUAAAAGCCCUCCUCCCCUCGAAAGAAAUAAAAGCCAGAGCGAAAUGAAGGUAAAUGCCAGAGGUUUAAGUACCACGCUGCCGGGUGUGUUUUAAAGGUUACCUUUCAGGGGGUUGAGGAGAGGCAGAGAGGGAAGGAGCUGGAGCUCUUCCCGUGGCGAGGGCCACUCCAGCGCUUAAUGGCUUUUUAUAUCCCCGUCUGCUUUCCGUGACAUUAUUAAAAUUGUUUAUUUUUAAUUUUAUUUUUUUUUUCCGCCCCUGCAUCUGGAGGAAGGGGUCGGGCUGGGGAGGGGAGGGCAAGCCGUUGCCGUGGUGAUACCCGGUGUAAAUCUGCAUCGCGGAUUGGGAGGAAAAAGGACGUUUUGGGGUGGGUUUUAGGGGAGCUGUGGGUGGGGGCACAGGCGGGCAGGGGCGCGAUGCCACCUGGGAGGAAUGGCAUUUUCAUCCCUGUCCAGGCUCUUGGGGAUGUCAGAUGGCCUCGCGGGGACAAAUUAGCGCCAGGGCUGGGGAGGCUGUUGGUGCAACAGCCCUGGUGGGGUAUCCAGAGGGGAUGGAGGGCUCCCCCCCAGGGCUCUGGUACCCCGACAGAUGCUGGGGAGAGGGAACUUGUUCAAACUCCUCAGCUCUCACGCCCCAACCCCGUGUUUUGUUGGCAAACAGGUAUUAUGGCUAUUACGUCUAAUAAAAUAAACCUAGUCUUUACUCCAAAGCUGCUCCAGGGGCUCUGGUAACUGCUGCUUUGCUAUUUUUUUUUUUUUUUCUCUCCUAUUUGAUCUGAAAGCCCAGAAUAAAAAUACAGCAGAGACACGUGGAGGAAAGG
rnacentral:lncRNA from 1 species